AGCCACCUCCGCCUCCCCCUCCGCUGCCUGCGGGCGGCCAUUUGGCGCUGGCGCCGCGCGGCGAGGCAGGGUCUGGUGUUGAUGGGCCUGGUAUGGAGACAUCAGUUGACUUCUCUGUCUGUAAUUCCAAAACCCACUUGUGCUGAAUAUUUUUCUUUCUAAGAUGACAUUCAGACUUCUCUACAACUUGAUCUGGAAAGAUGACCAGUACCUGGGAUGGCCUUGUAGACAACCAAGACAAGAGCAGGAAACUCUUAUGCUGGAAUUUGGCACGUGCAAACAAAGUUGAAAACAUGAAGAACUUUCUGAACUCUUCUGUUGUGGCAUUUGUGCACUGGUUGUUUUGUAAGAUGUCCAGAUGGCAAAACCUAUCAGCAGAAUAAGUAUUGCAGUUCCCAAAUAGAAACAAUUCCAGGAGGGUAGAGGAACCUGGCUGAAACCAUAUUUCCAGAAGAUCGUCUUUUCAAAAAGAUGUGAUUUAUUCUCUGUCUUGUACAAAAUAGCUGGCUUUUUCAUGUCCAUAAGAGCUGCUUCAUAUUUAAAGAAUGGUUUCUUUUCAUGGUUUCUUUUCAGUAAAGAUGCAUUAAGCACUAGAAAUAUACACCAAUAUCUCAUGGUAGUCCACCAGAGGGAUCCUUUUCAAAGUAGAAUUAUAUCCAAUACAUUAUUAGCACUGAGCACCUAUCAAGUAGUCUGGUUUAGCCUGAUAGAAUCUGUAGGUUUGCCUAUAGAACAUUUUAAACAAGACAAAUAUGUCAUAAUGCUGCAUUUGUCCUAUCUUAAACAUCAUCCUUGCAUACAGUCAGCUUGAGCAGAAGGUGCAGGGGACUUUUAUAGCCCAGCUAGGUAGCCAUUUGUACAUCGUAUAUUAAUAAAGUUAGUUUUUGUUUAAUUUUCAGCAACUUCAAACAGAGAGUAUAAUCUUUGAUUAACUUCAUGAAUUUUUGUUGGCUGAUGAUUGUGCCUUAGUCUCUCAUUAGUCUCUCAGGAACUGCAAACCAUGGUGGAGAGCUUUGCAAAUAUAUGCUAACUUUUUGGUCUGGUUACUAGUCUUUUAGGGACCAAAAUCCUCCAUCACCCUGUGCCUGCAAAACCAUAGGUAUUGUCAGAAGCCAGCAUUAAUGAGCAGGAUCUCCAAUCAGUUCCUAAAUGUAACUAUUGUGGGAGUACUGUAGCAUGCUACGAUGAAUGAUGAACUUCCACAAAGAAUUGCCAAAGCCAUCACAAUGUUUGGAAUACUACCAGGCUGGUAUUAGAACUCACUGGAUACAUCUACAUGUGCAAUUAAUGUGCCUGAAUUUAUAUCACACAAAAUUCAGGCUUAUCAAAGCACUUCGGGGUGCACAUCUACACAUGUGUCCCAUCAGGAGCAAAUUGCACCUGACAGGAGCAGCCUAGUCCAGGGCUUCUUCCUGCCCUGCUCUGCCCCAGCCAGGGGGAGCUCCAGGUUCCCCCAGGUGCCAGCCCUGGGGCUGGCAGGGAGCACAGGGGCCCUUCCCAAUACCUUCCAUGGCUGGGAGAGCCAUCCCUGCUCAGCUCCCCAUGUGGCUGAGGAUUAGGAUCCCCACGUGGCUGGCAAGAAGCAUCCCUGCUCAGUGGGGAUGGCUUUCCCAGCUACAUGGUAAUUGGGACUCCCUUGAUCCCCACAUAGAUUGGAUGUGGCAGUCCCAGUUGCUGGGACAGCUCUCCUGAUCAUGUGGGGGUCGGGACAGGUCCCAGUCCUCACGUAGUGGGGAAAGAGCUGCCCUGCAGCCAGCACAACUCCCCCCCACAUUGCGGGGCUUAGCUAGGCAAACGUGGGCCCCUUGCUGUCUGGGCUGACCUGGAGCAAAUUUCUUCCGGUCAGCAUGUACAUGUGCAUUACUACACAGUAGCUAAUGAACCAUUAAUCUAGUACCUAUAUUUCCUAGUACUGGCAAAUAGCGCAUUAGCCUGAUUUACUGCACAGUAAGUGCUGUGCAUAUGUAGACGAUGACACUUUAUUGCACAUUAGAAUAGUCUAAUGCGCAGUAAAGCAUCUCAUGUAGACAUACCCACUGUGGACCAAAUUGAAAUGCUUUAAGGACUGCCUGAAAUUUCAACUCGAGCAGUGCAACAUUGGCUUCUGAUUGGGAGCAACUGGCAUUAACUCAAAACCUGGGACAAGACAGCAUGGCAUUUGCUAACCCAGAGGUUCUACAUUUUUUUGACUCAGGACACCCCUCCUUGGACACAAGACACCCCUUGGCAAAUCCCACCUCUUAGCUUUAGCUCAUUUUUUGAACCUGGAAAAGUAGUUGCAAAGAACUCAGAAAGACCACAAAAGGUUAGAAUGUUUUUGACAUUAUUGAUUCCUAUUUGAAAUCUCUGGGCUUAUCUUGUGAAUUGUGUGUGUGUUUGCCUACCUAAGGGUGCUAAUAUUGCUCUUAUUAAAAGUAUCUCAUGGCACUCUCCUUAGGAAUCACUGUGCAAACCUGUUCAGGUGCUUGCCCUUUGAGAGCCCAUGCAUCUGAGAUGCUCACGAUAGGUCUCCUCUUGAUGGCUUGAAGCUGUCCUCUUUGAUUCCAACAACUCGAUAAAAAGAAUGAAGACUGUAUGGAUGAAUUCAUUGCUCAUCCAAAUCUUCGUUAAGGCUUUUGGACUCAGAAAUAUUAAUAGUGUAAAAACAACAUCUAUUUUUCUUCAAUAAGGAAGUGCUGUACUUAAGGGACUUUUUUUUCCUUUUGGGUAAAAAAGGCUACAUUUUUAAGGUACUUCUCUCAUUUCCCCUCUCCUGCAGUUGCUUGCAAAUGCAAACACAAUUAGGCAUAGGCAGAAAUGACAGCAUUUAAAACUGUAAUUAUCUAAUUUGCAGAUGCAGUCAAUUGUGGCAACAAAAGUAGAAACCAUUAACCAGAAAAAAAGAAAAAGCCAACAGCUUGUAUGUUCUUCUGUGUUGCACUUUAAAAAACUAAAGGCCCUUCAGAUCUUAUCACCCAGGUUAUCUAUGGAAUUACAUUAAGUGGAGUUGCAUCAGCCUGUGCUGGAAUGCAGUUUUGGCUUCUGGCUGGUUGUCCAUCACUGUCCUAAAGUUUAGGUUUAGGUAACCAGUCAGGGGAUAUGGCAGACUUGCCACAGAGCCUUUGGGGCAAAAAACACUGAUUACCCAAGUAAAUAAAAAUGUAGAUAUUUCUUGUAUUAGUGAUGUCCUGCCAGUGUUCAAAACAAGACACUCCAGUGUUUUCUCUCUCAGUCGAUGAAAUUCUGGAUAGGGGUUCUGGAUAGAAGGUUGCAUAGAGAAUGCUGGAAAAAUGUCUAUUUUGUUCCUUUUGGAAACCCAUAUUCUCUAUUUUCCUGGAAAUCAGCUGCAGCUGGUAGAGGUUACGUCCUGGGCAACAGAGGUAUUAGGGUUUGCUACUGGAAUAGUGGCAGGGGGGCUUAAGGCUCCAGCUGCCUGAAGCAGGGUGGAGACAGGAUGCUUGUGCAGGAAGAGGUGUUUCCAUGAGCAGCCAGGUUAACUCUCCCCUGCCCCAACUGCCAUAGUUUUAUAUGGUGAGCAACCAUGUAAAUCCCUAAGUUUGUCAGUGAUACCUCUCCUUGCAGCAGCAUCAGUCGUGGAGAGGGAGGGUGAGGCUGAUGAGGGAACUCCUGCCUCUGCUCUGCUGUGUGUCUGGAACCUUGCACCCUCCCACCUCUAUUCUGGCUCUCCCAUUUACUGGGCUUCUCCCAGUCCCCCACCCUUCGUUAUGCUAUGGCUGAAAAUACUUGGACUUUAUUCUAAAAAAUGCAUGUGUUUAUAUGUGUUUAUAGAUUUCUGAAGACUUUUCCAGCUUAUAAGUUUGCCAAACCAACUGUAUCCUUUCAGUCUCUGUGAACAGAGAGAGACAUGUAUAUUUCCUCUUCUGCAAACAAACUUUUUGGAAAACAUCCCUCCUUUUCUUUUUCCCUGAGAAUUUAGAUUCCCUUUAUAUUUUCCCUUUGCAUUUCCCUCCUUUCUUGCUCUAACUUGGAUCUGGAAAGGUUACAAUAGCUCCUUAUGGAGGAUUGGGAACUUCCCUACCCUAAUAAAUCCUUGAUUUUUUGUAGGAGGUAGUGUUGGUUGAACUGCUCCAUACAUUAAUUCUUCUCAAUGCUUAAUAUUUUCCAUUCAUUCUUAAGGUACUGUCAUCUACCUUUUCCAUCAUCUUCUGCCUUGCUUUGUCUACUAACUAACCCAAGUGGCAGAUACCGUAUUUUUCCAAGACCACCCCAAUAGACAUAUUCAGCAUGUAAUACAAAAGCAAUAAAAGUUACAUCACAUAACCUGCCACUACUACUACUUCAUAGCUUCCAGUUGACUCUCUUUGUGCCAUCUGGAUGCUGUUUCCUUUUGGCUGAGAAGAUGCAACUUCAGAGACAGCUAACUGUGCAUGAGAUGAUCAGCUGCCAGAAACGUAGCUAACCAUCACUGGCAACAUGUCACAGACUGUGCAUUUAUGUCAACAAGAGCAGAACAAAAAUCCAUUCAUUUUCCUUAAUGCUUGGCUGAGGAACAGCGGUAUUAAAAUGUUUUUUUAUGAGUUCCUUCUCCAUUGAAGUGCAGUUUGUUUAUUAAAAUGUUUUAAUUUUUUAUUAAUUGCUUUAGAAAGCACGCAGUGAGAAAUAUUCCAUUCUUUGCUGGAACAGAGAUCUGUGUCAAAGUGAUACAUAGUAUUUUGUCAGUCACUCUAAAAAUCUGGGACAAAUCUACUGUACAACACUGCUUUUGAGUGAAGUGGUGAGAGCCUGGGGAAUGGGAGUUAGGACUUGUUUCUGUCUGAUAUGUGAGGACCUCAUCUAAGUGGUAACUAAAAAAAGUAGUCUGACAAAACAGGUGACACUUGAAUUACCUUCUAUACUUUACUAUGUGCCAAAAAAAUCAAUGUUUUGGCCACUUAAUAUGCAUGUCGGCAGCAAAAAUACACGAUGUCUCCUCCACCAGUAAUGAACCUCAAGAUGCUGCUUCUGUGUUGCUGCUGCUGUUCUGCCCUCCCCAGUGCUGGGGCUGGAGCCACUGUAGGGAAGGUACAGGAGGUGGGGUUGGGGGAGCACAGCACUAGCCAGUUUUGCCUUUGCCUCAGAUUUGCAACCUGAGCCCCCAUUGCUUCUGUCUCCGAUAUGUUGAAUCUACCUCAGUGUCUUAACCCUCUCCAUUUAUUUCCCAAUGUCCCAAGUCUUUCAUUUUUAGCAGUACCUUCCGUGUCCUCUUGCAGCAGAGGCUAGCUGUCUUUCCUAGCAUUUAGAAGCAAGUAUGGGGGAUGCAGGUUCACUCUAAUUCCACCAGGUUCUAACCUGUGGCCCUGGCUGGUUUUGCAGCAGCACAUCCACAAGCUUUGCUCUGGUGCAGCUUGGUACCUGUUUCAUGGGCCAUCUCCGCACCUCUGGUUCCUCAACACAUACAUCUUCCAUCUUACCUUUACCUUUGGCCUCUGCUGCCUAGACUGCCCUUCAGUCCCUCAGGCUUCAUGUGCGCAUCAGGGACAUCUGUCAGUACUUAUUGAAACAUUUUUAUAACCUUUUAUAAAUCAAAGUAACUCUUGUGUUGUAAUAUACUGGUGUUAUACUGUGGCCCAAAGCAUUUCAAUAAAAGUUUUCUGACUAGUUCUGUUAA